rnacentral:tRNA from 3 species
GGGGGCAUGGCGGAAUCGGUAGACGCAGCGGACUUAAAAUCCGCAGGCCCAUAAGGGCUGUAAGGGUUCAAGUCCCUUUGCCCCCA